GCCUGAUUGGUUUAAAAAUUUCAGAGCAGAUAGACUUUGACCUAACAAACAAAUUUGUCUUUGUCAGAUUAGCUCUAAAUGCUUUGGUUUCUGCAUUUUACCCUAUGUACUAUUUUUAGCCAUGUCUGCCAUCUUGGUUCGCAAGGGGGGUCAUCGGACACAUUUUUUAAAAUACAUACCCUUAUGAUGAUUGUGGACAAG
rnacentral:lncRNA from 1 species